rnacentral:lncRNA from 1 species
CAACUGCUGACUGAUUUUCUGGGCUUCUUGGCUGAUGGUGGUGACUCUGAAGAAAGAAGCUGGGUUUAUCUCUGGGUCUUGGGAUAAUCAAGUUGGAAGUGGCCUGGCUGAUUUGAAGGUAGAAGGUAGAAGGUUGAAGACAGGAAACUGCCUUAUACUUCUCUUAUGUCCACCAAAUCACCUAACCCUGUGCUGGAUAUGUGCAUAAAGCCUUUCAGCUUCCCCUCCCCCUUUACCUCCAACCUUCUUCUAAAUCACUCAGGGUGGACUAUGAUGCUUUAGAGAAAAUACUCUUUUCUCUUCUUCAACUCAAGUAUGGGUUCAUUGGGGAAUACAGGACAAGGAUGGAGGAUAAGUGAUGAGUUGACCUUGGACAGCCACUUUGCCUUUUGCAUUUUAUUUCUGCUCUACAAAAUAAGGAGAAUUCUACCCAUACCAUAUAACUGUUGUGAGAAUAAAAUGAGAUAUAGCCUGGGUAACCUGUUUGACUUGGUGUGUUUCCUAUUCCAUAUAUUAACAUUUAGUAGACUAGAAUUUUUUACAGGGAGCUGAACUUGAUCUUUUGUCCCCUGAGAUCUACCUUGAACCUCCCUGGCAUUAAUGAUGACAUAUGUAGAAUGAUUUGUAAGUUUAAAAUACUACACAAAUGUAAAUAAUGAUCAUAUGAAAAAGUAUUAUUCUAGACUAUGCAUCAUGCAAAUAAAAUUAGGAAAUUGUUCA